rnacentral:rRNA from 1 species
UACAGAGGUCCCGAGCGUUGUUCGGAUUUAUUGGGCGUAAAGGGUGCGUAGGCGGCGGAGUAAGUUGGGUGUGAAAUCCCGGGGCUCAACCUCGGAAUGGCAUUCAAUACUGCUUCGCUAGAGUACUGGAGAGGAGGCUGGAAUUUACGGUGUAGCAGUGAAAUGCGUAGAUAUCGUAAGGAAGGCCGGUGGCGAAAAGCGAGCCUCUGGACAGUUACUGACGCUGAUGCACGAAGGCCAGGGGGAGCAAACGGGG